rnacentral:misc_RNA from 1 species
UUUCCGUAGGUGAACCUGCGGAAGGAUCAUUAAUGUGUUUGGGCCUCACGGCUCUUCAUUCCGACGCUGUGCGCCUUCGGGCUGCACGCUGAGGGAGCAUAUAUCCACCCCUGUGCACACACACGGUGGCGAGCUGGGUAACGGCUCGCCGCUGAUCUUUACACACGUCUAAAAGUCAUUGUAUGUUUAUUUGAGAUAAAAACACAACUUUCAGCAACGGAUCUCUUGGCUCUU